UACGGAGGGUGCGAACGUUGCUCGGAAUCAUUGGGCGUAAAGCGCGUGUAGGCGGCGCGUUAAGUCGAGUGUGAAAGCCCUGGGCUUAACCCAGGAAGUGCGCUCGAUACUGGCGCGCUAGAGUACGGGAGAGGGUAGCGGAAUUCCCGGUGUAGAGGUGAAAUUCGUAGAUAUCGGGAGGAACACCAGUGGCGAAGGCGGCUACCUGGACCGAUACUGACGCUGAGAUGCGAAAGCGUGGGUAGCAAACAGG
rnacentral:rRNA from 1 species